AUGGUUGCUUCUUCAGUUCUAUUUGACAUGCAACUCUACAAACAAUUUGUAUUUUCUUUUGUAUCCAGAUGUACAUGGUAUAUUGUUCAUUUUUACUCUACCAAAAUUUGUGUAGUUUAAUUUACUAAAGGUAAACAUUCCAUGUAAAGGUAAACAUUCCAUGUAAAGGUAAACAUUCCAUGUAAAUGUAAACAUUCCAUGUAAAUGUAAACACUCCAUGUAUAGGUCAACAUUCCAUGUAAAGGUAAACACUUUGUUUAAUGGGAAACACUCCAUGUAUAGGUAAAUGUUCUAUGUAAAGGUAAACAUUCUAUGUAAAGGUAAAUAUUCCAUGUAAAGAUAAAAACUCCAUGUUAAAGAUAAACACUCCAUGUAAAGGUAAACAUGCCAUGUAAAGGUAAACAUGCCAUGUGUAUUAUAGAAUGAUAUCUAGAUGGAAGUACAAAUGUAUAAAAACGAUAGAAAUAUUCUUUUAAAAUCCUGUAAAUGUAUUCAGUUUUGUCACUGACAAAUCGAUCUGAUAUAAGCAGUCAUCUGUUUUAUAGAGAGCUCAGUAUUAUGUUUCAUAUAUACAUUCCAUGACAGCAAAUAUGAUAUUACAAUCUAAUACAUAUACAUGUACCUUAGUGUGUUCACUUGCUAUAUUAAUACAUACCAGAGUUUGACUCCUUUACACAUUCCUGUUCAGUGGCUUAUCAAUAUUUUUAACUGAGCUUGGAAAAUCAAAACAAUUUCUAACCGUGUGUCACAAAAUAUUGUGUGUCGUUUACAUGAAUGAUUGAGAAAUUGUGAUUCAAAAAUUUAAAUGUGUCAUUAUGUGAAUGUUACAAAUGCAUAUGGAUAGGAUAAUUCUAGGAUAGGAUAAUUCUAGGAUAGGAUAAUUCUAGGGUCCAUUAUGAAGUGAAAUAAAUAUGCUGGAGGAUUGGAUAUUGAGGGUUUCCGGGGUCAGUAAAUUUUGGCAGCAGAAACAAUAUAGGGUUAAAAUAUCCUUGUUUCUUUCCUGAACACCUUGAAUUAAUUCAAAAUUGCCUUCAAAGGGUAUGAGAUGAAAAUUCUCGGUAAUCAAAUCUAUUUCAAAAUUGUGAAGGAUACUCCACAAAGUCUUUUGCAUAUAUAUUUGAUAUUGUGAUACAUAUAAUAUUGUAUUGGGGGAAAUUAUACAAGAUUGUUGUUAUACAAAAAUAUAUGAUCUCAUUUUAUUUGUAUUAUAUUGUACAUUUAAUAGCAUAAACCAGGUGUUUAUAGUU